rnacentral:misc_RNA from 1 species
CGAAAUGCGAUAAGUAAUGUGAAUUGCAGAAUUCAGUGAAUCAUCGAAUCUUUGAACGCACAUUGCGCCCUCUGGUAUUCCGGGGGGCAUGCCUGUUCGAGCGUCAUUUCAACCCUCAAGCUCUGCUUGGUAUUGGGCUUUCGUGGGGAGCACACCCUCCUACGAGCCUCAAAGCUAUCGGCGGUGGUGCCCUGCUUCGAGCGUAGUAAAGCUUAUUCUCUCGCUUUGGAAGUUGGGUUCUCGCCAGCCGGAAAAACCGGGCCUCGCGCCCACUUUUUCUAAGGUUGACCUCGGAUCAGGUAGGGAUACCCGCUGAACUUAAGC